rnacentral:lncRNA from 1 species
GCUCAAACACAAAACAUGAAUAUUUUCUGUCCAGGGGGUAUUUAUUUUAUGAUAAAAAUAUAAGUUCAUAUAAAAAUUAAGCUAUAUGUUGACAAUUUCAUUGAAACUGACAGAAAGUUAUUUUUAAAAUGUCACAAAAUAUAGAUAAAAUGUAAAUUAAUGCCUUUAGCAUACUUGUUUUCAACAACACAUCAAUGUAUUUUUAAGAUUUGUUUCAAAAAAAGAUUGCACUUUCUGACAUCUUUUUGUUUUCAUCUGGCAUCAUCAGAGCAUUCAUUAAAAAAAACAAAAACAUUACGACCGUGAAAUGUCCCGACAUUUCAAACUGAAAUUAGAUCAACAUCUUGUCAUCCAUGUUCAGAACUUGACAUUGCAAAACACAUUGAGAAAUACAGAAUGACUGGAUAAGAUUAUUCCAUCUCCAUCCUUAUAAAGAGACGGGUAACUGACAACGCUCAGCAGAGGCGUCCACAUCACCUCUAGAUCUCACAGUGCUCACUUUGCUGUCUGUGACACCAGUUUAUUUUUUGGUUCUGACAAACAAGCUGUGGAAAGGAUGAAGUGUGUUAUGAUCUUUCUGGUGUUGACGCUGGUCGUCAUCAUGGCUGAAGCCCAGACAUAUGGUGAUUUUAGCAAUAGUGGGAACACAGGAACAACUGGAGGUCUCCACUUUGGAGGAUGCAAAAUGACACGGCUCCCACACGGGCAUGGUGUUAUUAUCAAUAGUGGAAACACAGGCACAACUGGAAGCAUCACAAAUAAACCAUUCGAAUGCAGAUGCACAUGUGGAACAACCCAAGGUGAAGUGGCCAGCUAUAAAUUGAUGCGAUACUAUGAAGACUGAGUCUGUUUUUGAUUUUGAUGAUAUAGUUUGAGCUAUAUCUUUGUGAUUUGCAAAGCAAGAAAUAAUUGGAUCAGUAAACAUGAAGUUCUUGAGAUGUAGUGAUUUUAGUCACAGCUCCUAUUGAUGUUAAAAAAAUUAAUAUUGCUUGAUAGUGAAAACUAUCCUGCUGAAUAAAGCUGCAUUCCAAAAGACCAUCUCUGUGUUGUGGUGUUAUUUAAGUAAACAUGUGCUUGUAAUUUUACUGGUGAUGAUGAUCAGAAACAUUGUCUUCAUUAAGUCAGAGGUAAAUGUUUAUAUUAAGUAGAUUUAAAUAAUGAGUGUGUUGGUGUUAUCAGUUUAUUAAAUGAACAUUCUUCCUAUUCGAUCAGUAGAUGAAUGUCUUUUUUGAAUACGGCCAACAGUCCAGACAUUCAAGUUACUAUGAGGUGAAAUGAGUAAAAAGAAAUGAACUAAUACCUAGAAUUGAUUAGCUGGAACCAUCAAAUGUGGGGAGAGCUUUAACAGUAAGAAUGUAUUUUUAUCCCUAUCUUUUUUUUUUUUUUUUUUUAACAAUAUCUUUAUAAGCUUUUCCUAGAUACAUUGACAUUACGCAGUGUUUAUGACAGGGAAAGUUCAGCGAUUGUCAAAACCCUCCCUCCCAAACUAACCCUUGCCAGUCUUCACCCUUCCCAUCCCUCCCCAGCUAGUCUAUAGCAUAUCCCAUACAAAAAGAAAAGAAAAAAAGAUAUAAAAAAGGAAAAUUGAAUAAAAAAUAAAAAGUAAAUAAAUUAAAAAAAGAUAAAGUGGUACAAUAAAUUUAAACAAAAAAUAAAUUAAAUUAAAGCAGAAGGUUACAGUGCAGAUGAUUAGGGUUAGGGUUAGCAGACAAGGCUUCAACAGUGAUGUACAGUCUGCUCCUCAAAAACAACAUGUUGGGAAAAGUUAUUUGAUACCUGUUGCUGUUACACCAUAAGUGGUCAGCUGACAGUGUGAUGUUUUCAAAGUACCCCUCAAAGCUACUCCAACAUUUGUUCUAAAGAUGGGGCUUUUUUUAAGUUGAACCUAAUCUUUUCAGAGGCCAUUUCUGAAGCAGUUUCUUUUAACUACAUAGAGACAGUAGGAGGGUCCUCUUCCAUGAUAUAGCUAUGCAUUUGUUUCCAGCAAUCAGAGCU